rnacentral:rRNA from 1 species
UACGAAGGGGGCUAGCGUUGUUCGGAAUUACUGGGCGUAAAGGGCGCGCAGGCGGCCCUCCAAGUCAGGUGUGAAAGCCCCGGGCUCAACCCGGGAAUUGCACUUGAGACUGGGGGGCUUGAGUUCGGGAGAGGAGAGUGGAAUUCCCAGUGUAGAGGUGAAAUUCGUAGAUAUUGGGAAGAACACCGGUGGCGAAGGCGGCUCUCUGGACCGACACUGACGCUGAGGCGCGAAAGCGUGGGGAGCAAACAGG